CUGUUCUUGUUUAUCGGUUUGUACGGAACUUCACCCGCGGUAGAGUACGGCCUGAGAAUUUUGUUCCAGCACCGGUGUGAGGAAAACAUCUGAGCCCAUGAAUUGCCAGACCCUGGAUACCUGAGACACAUCCACUUGCUUCUCAGAUUGGACAUCUGUGGGCUUCCCUUUGCUAUGACGUUUGGAGUGCAUAAUGAGGAGAAAUAAAAACAGAAAGAUCUCCAGAAAGAAGCCAUGGGUGGAGAACAGAGGGCGACUAGAUUAAAUGGAAAGAAUGCCCAGGCAUCCCAUUGCCUCCCUUUGACGUUCCAGAACUUCAUCAAGACAGUGAUGAGCUACAUGUACACCUGGAGGAGGACCAUGCAGAAUACCAUCCAGCGCCAUGAACACUAGUCAGUCAGUCAGUAAUGGUGGGCUUCUUGGUGUGCUCCAGCUCAAUUUUCUCAUGUUUGAUGAUUAGUUCAGGAUCAAGCUCAGAAGCGCACAGCUGCCAGCAAGCAGUCUACUACUGAACUGCACCAUCUCUCCAGCCUGUGCUUACUCUUGAAUAGCCCCAAAGUAGUCAAUGGUAUGGCAAAAUAAACCUCCAUUUCAUUUAGAUUUUUAUAGUAUUUUUUGCCACUUAAAUUAUUUUAUGUAGUUGAGUAUGAUUUUUUUUCCCCCUAAGGAAUUCUAUGUAUCUCAAUUUCAAGAGUCUUCAGCCUUUAUGUUAUACAUAAUUUCCUAUAGAUUUCAAAGUUGCUUUAAUAAAAAGUUUAAUGUUAAAACA
rnacentral:lncRNA from 1 species